CUAAAGACCAACACAAAAUAGGGGCAAAUGUGUGAAUGAUCCAGUAAUGGAAGCUCAGCCCAGUAUGAAGAAUGAAGCCAACAGGAGAAAAAGGGAAGUUCUUUGGAGGGUGGUUGCCCUCUCUGAUUGGCCUGUGAUUUCUCUUUUAACCAAACUAACAACCCUCUAUAAAAGUGGAAAAAAGAAACGAUGUUUGUUGUCAUUGCCUUCAAUGGUGGCAAUGUGAUGCUGAUGGCAGUUGUACUAUUCAAUUUUCUAAUUAUUCUGAGCUACAUUUAGUUGCAUGGUCAUAAGUAAGGACAGCAGGACAAAAAAUGACCCUCUGAGCUAAGGUCGGCUUAUGCUUUAAAGCCACUAAAUAGCAGUCCAAUCCAAACAGGCUUCUUAUUGAAUUUUUCUUGUUAAGGUUGUUCAAACGGGCUCUUCUGGAGAAGUUCCCAUUUUUAGGCAGUGAUGAUAUUUGCUAUUUUGGGCUGAUGUUUAUUGUUUGGGGCAUGGAGACAAUCUAACCCGUAUCUUGGCAUGGCAAAUCCAGAUGGCUUGUGAUUGAGUCUUCUCUUUCACAUGCAAUUGGUUCUUUUGCAGCCAUGGCGGUUGUUGCCUUCUCUUUGCCCCAAUUUUUUGCAGAUCUGAGCCUCAAUUUCCAACUAGUCCAACUGGAUGUCCCAGGACUCGAAGAGUUCUGAACCUAAAUGAUGAAAAAACCCUAUGUAUACACACACACACACACACACACAAAAACCACAUCAUGAGAAAAUGUCAAAAAUGGUCCCUUAUCGGGGCAAUGAUGAUCUUUCAAUCUAUCCUCUUUAGCUAGUAAUUGAGCAUUGAGAGUACCUGGCCGGUAUCUUGGCGGGGCAAUGACCCAGAUGCCUGUGAUUUUGUUGCAUGCAACUUGGGAAUAUUUGCAGCCAUGGCGUGACUGGUCUCCGACUUUCUUUGCCCGAGUAUAAGAUGGAUCUGAGCCUCAAUUGUCACUUAUGGGUGUAUUUGCUAUGGAGGAAAAUGUUUUAGUGUUCACUACAAUAAAAGAGACAUUUUGUGUCAAUAGAAUUUUCUCUUACUGACAAUAUUUAUUGCUGCAAAAACAUUUAGCUGCAAAUUAAGUUAAUGCCAUUGCAUCUAAAGUCGCUAAAGUCUUAAGUGACAUUUAUAUAGAGUGAUGUUUAUAAAUACUCAUAUAUGUUAUUGCCGCUAAAUAUAUUCUAGUAGCGAUUAUAUCAUUGCCACAAAAUCCUUUGUUUGUUGUAGUAGAAUCAGCCCUAAAGUGGCUACCUUGUGUACAACACCAUACUUAAAUGUGAUCCCAUUAUGGUCUGGAAAGUGGCUACCUUGUGUCAUUUCUACAUAUAAUAAGACCUUCGACAUGAGGCCCAUAAUGAGGCUGUGAUGAUUUUCAUUCUUUACUCAUCAGAUGGUUGAGCUUCACUAUAUCUUGGCUUGGCAUCUUUUGGGGGGUCUUGUGAGAUAUUGGAGCUAUUUGGGUUUCUGCCUCUCACAAAGACUCCUUAAGCUUGCAGCCAUGGUGGGGUUUAGCUUAUGUUUGAGAAAAGGCGAAUCUGAGCCUCCCAAAUCUGUUUGUGUGAAAGAACGAGGCUCUUUAUGCUACCCAACUUAUGCUGCAUAACUUAAUUCCUAUGGAACUUAUGCUGAGCGAGACAAAAGGUUCUCCAAACUCAUACAGAAACAAGAGCUCCUGAUUUUGGGGAAGUCCAUGCAAAAACUUGUUACUUUAAUGCAUUGAGAAAAUCUGACCUGUAUCUUGGCAGGGCAACCUGGUAUGACGUCAUCUGUAAACUGGCGUUUGCAGCCAUGGCAUUGGCCCUUUCUCUUUGCAUGUUCAUAUACAACAAAAUAUGAGCACUAAAGUCGAUGGUAAAUUUCUCAGUUGGUCACUCAACUCAAUGCGGGUUCUCAGGAACCUGAAUACCCUAUAGGGUUCAGUCCGAGCAACAUAGAAUACAUUCAAUGAGGCAAUGAAGAUGUUCAUUCUUUAAGAACCAUAUAGUUGAACUUUGUUGUAACUUGGUGUGGCAGCUCUAAGGGUCUGUGAGGUGAGAGAACUAUAUUGGUUUUCAUCUCACUAGGCUAUUAUGCUUGCAGCCAUGGCAUAGUUUAGCUUUUUCUGAGAAAAAAUAAAAUCUGAGCCUCCCAAGUAUCUGUUGUGUUUAGAGAAUGAGGCUUUUUAUUGAACUCGGGAAUGGUAGAGAUUUUCUAAGGGCGGUUAACUCUUUCUCCUAAGUUCAAUUUUGCCAAUGAAUUUUCCUAUGCUUUUGUUAUAAAUAUAAAGUUUAACAGCCCUUUCAAUUAGCAGAAUGCUCUUCAUGAUAUUGAUGAUAUGAUUGCCAUGAUUAUGGUAAUAAUAAAGGAAAAUAUAUGUUUUGCCCCUUUAACUUGUGGAAAACCCCGAACUAAACUUUUUGAAUAAGGCUGUGAUGAUAUUCUCCAAGAAGUUCGAAAAUCAGAUUUUUGAACUGAUUUAUAUCUUGUCUAGACAACGGCAGGGGAAUUUGUGAGGAUGCUUUUUGCAGCCAUGGUGGAUUGGCUCAUUUUUCUGAUUGAUUUUCACUCAAAUCUGAGCCUCUUUUCUGUUUAAAGUAUAGUUCUACAAUAUUUAGUCUUUCUCUUUCAUUCUUGAUACGAUCAGAUCAUAUAAGGAAGAGUCCCCUUUGAGAAAGAAACUUUUUAUGCAUCCAUCUAUACAAUUUCCCCAAAUUGUUAGGUACAUACUGAUAUGAGACAAGGCCAAUGGGAAUGGAAGUGAAUAUUGAGGAUCCGUAUAUUAAUGUUGCUGUAUUUUACUUUUUUGAUCAAGAUUUGUUGCUGCAUUUUUCCACAUAUUCAAACUUUGAUGUCUUGUUUUAAUCUUGAACGCUCCAAGUUUCAGAGGCAGUGAAGAUUCUUCAUAAUGAAAAUGAAAGUGAAGAAAAUUAGAGUUCAUUCGUGGCCUGGCUUGCGAGUUCAAUCGGAAGGUCUUAUAAGGCAACUGUUGCUUGCAGCCAGGGCACUGUUCAAACUCUGCUCUUCCUUUUCUUUUGAUUAAAUAGGCGAAAAUCUGAGCCUCAUUCUUAACUCUGUCCAUUUGCUUUUUUGUUUUUUGUUUUUUUUGUUUUACUAGUCUUUCUGGAAAGAGAUUUAGAUUACCAUCACUGUGGAACCACUUAAAUCAACAGCUAUCUCCCAACUCCAAAAGCCAAAAGGAAAAAUAAAUGAUUCUGCAUUGAGUACAUGCAUUUGUCAUCUUGAUUUGGUUGAUGAAAAUUGGAUCCUCCGCCCACAUGAAACGCAUCCACAGAAUCAGUGGCGUAGCCGGAAAUUUUUGAAGGAUGUUCAUAAAUGUGGACAUGGACUGUAGUAAUAACCGAUACGAUAAGCUAAACACAUGCUCACAUGUCCACUACCUAAACUUGGAACUGUUGGGAGAUUAUUGAUCAAAAGCACCAUAUUGGCCAAGUUAAUGGUGUAUUCUCAUUCCUGAUUAGAGGUACCAGAUGGGCAAAUUAAUUGGUCAAAGCAAUAGAGGUAGAGAGAAGAGGAAGCUCCAACUAUGACCAAAAAGAAUAGGGGAAAGCUGAUGGAUGUUGAUAAUCAUCAGGCUAGUUAUCUUCUACAUGGGCCUAACCAUUGUUUAAGAACAUGACAAGUUCACUUCCCUGAAGAAAUAAUUGUGGACAUCGUCAAAAGGUUACCCGUGCGGUCUCUUCUUCGAUUUAAAUGUGUUUCAAAAUUUUGGAAGACGUUAAUCUCUGAGCCUUACUUUAAGAUGAAGCAUCAAAGUCAUGUCAUGAAUGACUUAAAUUCGAAAAAGUUUCUUGUUAGCCAAUG